AGGGUUAUAGUUAAUUAUAACAUUUGGGUUGCAUUCAAAAAGUAUUGAAAUAAUCAAUUAACCUUA
rnacentral:tRNA from 1 species